rnacentral:rRNA from 1 species
GAUGAACGCUAGCUACAGGCUUAACACAUGCAAGUCGAGGGGAAACGACAUCGAAAGCUUGCUUUUGAUGGGCGUCGACCGGCGCACGGGUGAGUAACGCGUAUCCAACCUGCCCAUCACUUGGGAAUAACCUUGCGAAAGUAAGACUAAUACCCAAUGACAUCCCACGAAGACAUCUGAAUGGGAUUAAAGAUUUAUCGGUGAUGGAUGGGGAUGCGUCUGAUUAGCUUGUUGGUGGGGUAACGGCCCACCAAGGCAACGAUCAGUAGGGGUUCUGAGAGGAAGGUCCCCCACAUUGGAACUGAGACACGGUCCAAACUCCUACGGGAGGCAGCAGUGAGGAAUAUUGGUCAAUGGGCGAGAGCCUGAACCAGCCAAGUAGCGUGCAGGAUGACGGCCCUAUGGGUUGUAAACUGCUUUUAUAAGGGAAUAAAGUGGGUCUCGUGAGACUUUUUGCAUGUACCUUAUGAAUAAGGACCGGCUAAUUCCGUG